GAGGAAAGCAAAAUUGCCACUCGACCGCCAUGUGCACUGUUGGAAGCUUGGAAGCUGUCCUCCUCGAAAAAUUUGCAGGCGAGACAAAAGAAAGCCUUGAAAAGGAAAGAGAAGCACUUACAUUAGAGGUGAAGAAGAAGAACAACCUUCAGCUAAUCAACUGUAAGAUGGAGAAAACCUUCGCCCAUAGGAGACGGGAGCUUAUUGAAGAUAUGCCCUUCACAGCUGAGUUCAGAAACAGAUGGCCAGCCCUAUUUUCUCAGAAUCAGGUAAAUGCAGAGUUUACCCGCAUUACAACAAUCCCCCUGCUGUCAACAUUUAUGGCUCAACUGGAUCAUUACUCCAGCCAACUGAUGAAGGUUUUCAAAAAGAAGGGAGGGGCAGCAGGACGCAAAAUCUGCGAGCUCAUGGUAGCCAUGGACCAGAAUCCAAGCAUUGAAGUAAGACGGGAAUGCAUACUGAAGGCAUUAUGCAUCUACUUAAAUGAAGAUCCUGACAACCUUGUUUAAGAACUAUAUGGAUGUUGGUGCAGUGGGAGAGAUGGAGAAAGUCGUUUUGGGUAUCUAUGUUGUGCUGCGAGAGGGAGCAGAGGCAACAGAUCCACCUGAGGAUGUUGGCGUCUUGGUUGAAGGAUGUACAGUGCUGCAAGACUUGAGAGAUGUGGCAAAUGGCUGUGCAGCCCUCUUUGGCUUGAUCUAUUGUUUAAACUUGAACUAUCCCAAAGACCUGCGAUACACUUUUGAGUUCCUUCAAAAAGUAGUGAUGGGAUUGGAUGGGAACAAGCUCUCCAAUAAGGUGCAAGUCCUCAAAAAUAAACUGCAUGAGUAAAUUGCCAUCAAGGAUUUGGAUUGGAUUUGUGCUGAUUGUUGUACAAGAGAAAAAGGAGCGCUUUGGACUGUGGACUGAUGCUGGACUCAACAGUUCAGAGUCAAGACAUUUUUUUUGUUGGUCUGUAAUUGUGUUUGAAACUUUCACCUGUGGUACAUUGAAUGUGGAGGUGCAAACAGUGCUCUGAGACUAUCUACGAUGUACCAGUUACUAAAACAUUACAAAUUGAAGCAUUAUCAUUUGGGUCAGAGACACUCAUAUCCAUGCACAUACUAUGAAUGCCCAUGCUCAUUCAAAACAUAUCUGAGUCAAUGUCAUGUUGAUGUGUCAAGUACUAGAAUUGCAGAACAAGGAGUUUGUAUAUGCCUUUUGUGCCCUGGAAGUGAAAUACCAUCCAGUAGAGAGUAUUUUUCUCACAUCAAUAAUCAUCUGAAGCAGUUGAAAUAGUGAAAGGUGGUACCGUAAAUUAUGACCAUCAUGCAUCUGAAGACCAUCCAGGGGAUCUUGUAGAAACUGCCUCAGACUUAGAUUGUCAUAAUUUGAUUUUCUUGCAAGUUCUCAUUUGGUAAUUGGCAACUGUUCUUUUGAAA